GUUGUUGUUGUUGUUGCUAUUUCUUGGGCCGCUCCCGCGGCAUAUGGAGGUUCCCAGGCUAGGGGUCGAAUCGGAGCUGUAGCCACCGGCCUACGCCAGAGCCACAGCAACGCAGGAUCCGAGCCGCGUCUGCAACCUACACCACAGCUCAUGGCAACGCCGGAUCGUUAACCCACUGAGCAAGGGCAGGGACCGAACCCGCAACCUCAUGGUUCCUAGUCGGAUUCGUUAACCACUGCGCCACGACGGGAACUCCGGAAAAGAGUUUUACUGAGUUAGUAAUAGUUUGAAUCAUAAGAUGAAGGAAUUUUGCAUAUAUUCAUUUGUAUUCCAAAGGAAAAAUUUUAAAAUUCCAAAUAUUUGGAAGUUACUGGGGUGGUCUGCCCAGAGGCAAACUUGGAUAGAAGGACAGAUGACAAAUCUUGGACGUAGCUAUGUUCUGCCUGAUCUCUCCUAGCCCCCUUUCAGGUGCCUGGUGUUUUUGUGGUAUCUCUAAUCCUGGCCUAUCAAAACUUGCUCUUAGGAAAUCUUACAUUAAUUACUUAUUCUUUGGUGAGAUAUUAUCCAGAGUAUUUGAAGGUUCUCUUUUAUGUUUGUAUCAAACCUGAUUUGUCGAACACACUACCUCUGCUGCCCCUGACUUCUCACAUACAUGCAAAUCAUACAGAAUAAACUUCUACCUACGGUUGAGGCCAAGCCAGUUUGUGGGAGUUCUUUAGAAAUAAACAUAUGAGAAAGAAUUUGAGCUACUGCCAUGACUCACAACACUGUUUAUCCUGAGUAGAAAGUGUCUGUUUAAGAGAACCUAAAAAGAAAACCUACAUAAUUUGGCUGUAUGAACAUAAUAACUCAUAGGGAAUAAACCAGAGGAGGACUUCAUCCUAACUCUUUAAUUCUCUGUUAAAGAAUAAAAUAUUGUAUAUUAAUUUUAGGGGAGAUGUAGUAUAGGUACUUUAUUCUUUAGAGUGGUACCAAAAAAAUAUCCUUUGAAGAGAUUCAAAUGAAUUAUCCUGGCAAGAAGAAUAUACUGAAAACAAUAAAAUUUUUCCUGUUUUGAUAACAUCAAGACAAGGCUCAGGAGUUCCUUUGUGGCACAGUGGGUUAAGGAUGUGGCAUUGUCACUGCAGUUGCUUGGCUCACUGCCAUGGUCUGGGUUCAGUCCCUGGCAUGGGAAUGUGCACAUGCCUCAGGUGAAGCCAAAAAAAGGGGGGGGGCUCAAAAAGGAGACUGUACCUCAGAAUUAUAGGGUAUUGAGAGUACUACUAAGAGGAGAUAAUGAUUAAUAAUGACUACUAGACUCCAAAUGAAUGGUCAAAUGCAUCAAACUUUUUAUUAAAGAGUGUUUAUUAUCCAAUUGAUUGUAAAAAAUUAAAUCUCACUUUUACUAAUGAGUAAAAUUAUUAUAAAGCCUAUUUCUUCCAUGAUAACUAUGAAAUUUACCAAUUAUAGAAGUACUUUUUUUUUUUUUUUUUUUGCCAUUUCUUGGGCCGCUCCUGCGACAUAUGGGGGUUCCCAGGCUAGGGGUUUAAUCGGAGCUGUACCCACCAGCCUACACCAGAGCCACAGCCAACUUGGGAUCCGAGACGCGUCUCCAAUUCACACCACAGCUCAUGGCAACGCCGGAUCGUUAACCCACUGAGCAAGGCCAGGGAUCGAACCCGCAACCUCAUAGUUCCUAACUGGAUUCAUUAAUCACUGCACCACGACAGGAACUCCUAUAGAACUACUUUUGAGUUUGUUGUUAGUCUUUGUUCUUGAUGAGAAGAUAUCUACUUCCCAUCAGAUCACAUGCCUUAUUAUAAUCUGAUCAAUAUCAAAGUUGAAAAAAUAUGAUUCUCUGGAUAGACUAUGGAAUUCAUCUACUACUUCAAUGGUUUACCAACAUCAAUUUUUAUUAAGUUAUUGGGUCAAGGUAUUUGCAAUGAUAAUUUGCAUUCUGAAAGUAUGGUAGGAAACCCUAAAAUUACUAUUUUUAAAAACUACUGGUGCUAGAAAUCAAUACAUAAAUAUGGAUUUAGAGAUAGAUACAGGGAAAGAGACUAAAGCCUAACUCUUAAUUUGGCUAUAUAAGCUGAGGCUUAUAUGUCACUUAGCUAAGGACUGUCAGUUUAUAAAGCUUCUCAUGUUUUCUUCACGACCCCUCUAGUUGUGGGCAUAGAGAUUGUUUUCUUCUUUUGUUGAGAUUUUAAGUUAAAAGGUAAAAACUAUAUGCUGU
ensembl:lncRNA